AUCUGCCAGCAAGCGAAAAGGGCCAGGCUAGAAGGUUAAUUUGCCGCUACCAAGACGUGUUUACUUCAGAAAAGACUUGUCGACCAAAACAAUAUCACAUAAAAUAAAUACCUACGGGAGAUGCCCAACCUAUCGAGCAACAUCCCAGAAGGUUACCAUGGGCCAAACACGACGAAGCCCAUAAAAUCAUCGGCGACAUGACUAGAGAAGGAAUAAUUGAACCAUCCAGCAGCUCUUGGACCUCACCUGUGGUGCUAGUAAAGAAAAAAGACGGCAGCACUAUGUUUUGCAUAGAUGCCUGUAAUCUUUGCGAAACAGUGAAGUGUUGCAAAAUUUCUCUCCACUACACGUUUUUUGUGACUAUCUGCGCAACAGCAUUACCUUUAACUUUCUUCGUGAUGAGUGAUGACUUAUGGAGCAAGGCAUUUUUUGAAAGAAUUAACCAUUGGACCCAAAAUUGUUUUCGAAUUGUUUUUAGACGAAAAUAGCUUAUUUUAAGUGCAACUAAUCGAAUAUGUGACAUGAUAAGUAAUCAGAUUAUACCCAAUUUCCUGCAGUAUAGGUAUAUAUAGCAAUGAAUUACGGUGGACAGACAGAAAGGUGUUCAACAUGAAAGGUCUCAUUAUUUGUACUCUUUUGGUAUUGGCGUUUGUUGGCUUGUCAAUGGCUGACUGCAGCGGACAAAAGACGAAAGAAAAUUGCACCUGUGAAUUAUGGCUUAAAGAGUGCCCUGCAGGAUCUGAACAAUGCGACGUUAAGUCCGACAAUCCUUGCUCAAUCAUUUUCAAAACGUGUUGCAAACCUUGAAACCGAGAUGGUGUUACCUCUACAUUAAUUAAUUCAAUUAUUUCUGUUAUUAUACAAUAUCAAUAAAAUUGUUUGAAUUAUU